AAAAAGAACCUGAAACCGUGUACGUACAAGCAGUGGGAGCACCCUUGUGGUGUGACUGCGUACCUUUUGUAUAAUGGGUCAGCGACUUAUAUUCUGUAGCAAGGUUAACCGAAUAGGGGAGCCGCAGGGAAACCGAGUCUUAACUGGGCGAAUUAGUUGCAGGGUAUAGACCCGAAACCCGGUGAUCUAGCCAUGGGCAGGUUGAAGGUUGGGUAACACUAACUGGAGGACCGAACCGACUAAUGUUGAAAAAUUAGCGGAUGACUUGUGGCUGGGGGUGAAAGGCCAAUCAAACCGGGAGAUAGCUGGUUCUCCCCGAAAGCUAUUUAGGUAGCGCCUCGUGAAUUUAUCUCCGGGGGUAGAGCACUGUUUCGGCUAGGGGGUCAUCCCGACUUACCAACCCGAUGCAAACUACGAAUACCGGAGAAUAUUAUCACGGGAGACACACGGCGGGUGCUAACGUUCGUCGUGAAGAGGGAAACAACCCAGACCGCCGGCUAAGGUCCCAAAGUCAUAAUUAAGUGGGAAACGAAGUGGGAAGGCUCAGACAGCCAGGAUGUUGGCUUAGAAGCAGCCAUCAUUUAAAGAAAGCGUAAUAGCUCACUGGUCGAGUCGGCCUGCGCGGAAGAUGUAACGGGGCUAAAUUAUGCACCGAAGCCGCGGCAGCGAUAUGUAAAUAUUGUUGGGUAGGGGAGCGUUCUGUAAGCCGUUGAAGGUGACCUGUGAGGGUUGCUGGAGGUAUCAGAAGUGCGAAUGCUGACAUAAGUAACGAUAAUGCGGGUGAAAAACCCGCACGCCGGAAGACCAAGGGUUCCUGUUCAACGUUAAUCGGAGCAGGGUGAGUCGACCCCUAAGGCGAGGCUGAAAAGCGUAGUCGAUGGAUAACGGGUUAAUAUUCCCGUACUGGUGGUAACUGCGAAGGGGGG
rnacentral:rRNA from 1 species